CGGGAGGCAGCAGUGGGGAAUAUUGGACAAUGGGCGAAAGCCUGAUCCAGCCAUGCCGCGUGUGUGAAGAAGGCCUUCGGGUUGUAAAGCACUUUCAGUCGUGAGGAAAGGGAUACGGUUAAUACCCGUGUUCUGUGACGUUAGCGACAGAAGAAGCACCGGCUAACUCCGUGCCAGCAGCCGCGGUAAUACGGAGGGUGCAAGCGUUGUCCGGAUUUAUUGGGUUUAAAGGGUGCGUAGGUGGGCCUUUAAGUCAGUGGUGAAAGCCUACAGCUUAACUGUAGAAAUGCCAUUGAUACUGGAGGUCUUGAGUAUAGAUAAGGUAGGCGGAAUUGAUGAUGUAGCGGUGAAAUGCAUAGAUAUCAUCAGGAACUCCGAUUGCGAAGGCAGCUUACUGGUCUAUAACUGACGCUGAGGCACGAAAGCGUGGGGAGCGAACAGGAUUAGAUACCCUGGUAGUCCACGCCGUAAACGAUGCUCACUCGAUGUUGGCGAUAUACAGUCAGCGUCCAAGCGAAAGCGAUAAGUGAGCCACCUGGGGAGUACGCUCGCAAGAGUGAAACUC
rnacentral:rRNA from 1 species